rnacentral:rRNA from 1 species
GAGGAACUCUGGCGGCGUGCUUAACACAUGCAAGUCGAACGAUGAUGCCCACCUUGCUGGGCGGAUUAUUGGCGAACGGGUGAGUAACACGUGAGUAACCUGCCCCUGACUCUGGGAUAAGCGUUGGAAACGACGUCUAAUACUGGAUAUGAUCACCGGCCGCGUGGGCUGGUGGGGGAAAGAUUUUUUGGUUGGGGAUGGGACUCGCGGCCUAUCAACUUGUUGGUUAGGCAAUGGCUCACCCAAGGCGACCACUGGUAGCCGGCCUGACAGGGUGACCGGCCACUCUGGGACUGAUACGCAGCCCACACUCCUACUGGAGGCAGCAGUGGGGAAUAUUGCUUCAUGGGCGAAGGCCUUGAUGCUGCAACGCCCCGUGCUGGAUGACGGCCUUCGGGUUGGAGUCCUCUUUUAGUAUGGAAUAUUCGAAAGUGACGGUACCUGCAUAUAAAGCACCGGCUAUGCUCGUGCCCGCACCCUCGGUAUUACGUUUCGUGCAAGCGUUGCCCUGACUCUUUGGGCGAAAGAACUUGCAUGUGGUUUGUCGCGUCUGCUGUGAAAUCCCGAGGCUCAACCUCGGGCUUGCAGUGGGUACGGGCAGACUAGAGUGCGGUAGGGGAGAUUGGAAUUCCUGGUGUAGCGGUGGAAUGCGCAGAUAUCAGGAGGAACACCGAUGGCGAAGGCAGAUCUCUGGGCCGUAACUGACGCUGAGGAGCGAAAGCAUGGGGAGCGAACAGGAUUAGAUACCCUGGUAGUCCAUGCCGUAAACGUUGGGCGCUAGAUGUAGGGACCUUUCCACGGUUUCUGUGUCGUAGCUAACGCAUUAAGCGCCCCGCCUGGGGAGUACGGCCGCAAGGCUAAAACUCAAAGGAAUUGACGGGGGCCCGCACAAGCGGCGGAGCAUGCGGAUUAAUUCGAUGCAACGCGAAGAACCUUACCAAGGCUUGACAUACACCGGAAACGGCCAGAGAUGGUCGCCCCCUUGUGGUCGGUGUACAGGUGGUGCAUGGUUGUCGUCAGCUCGUGUCGUGAGAUGUUGGGUUAAGUCCCGCAACGAGCGCAACCCUCGUUCUAUGUUGCCAGCGGGUUAUGCCGGGGACUCAUAGGAGACUGCCGGGGUCAACUCGGAGGAAGGUGGGGAUGACGUCAAAUCAUCAUGCCCCUUAUGUCUUGGGCUUCACGCAUGCUACAAUGGCCGGUACAAAGGGCUGCGAUACCGUAAGGUGGAGCGAAUCCCAAAAAGCCGGUCUCAGUUCGGAUUGAGGUCUGCAACUCGACCUCAUGAAGUCGGAGUCGCUAGUAAUCGCAGAUCAGCAACGCUGCGGUGAAUACGUUCCCGGGCC